rnacentral:rRNA from 1 species
CCAAUAGCGUAUAUUAAAGUUGUUGCAGUUAAAAAGCUCGUAGUUGAAUUUCGGGAUCAAUAUAUCGGUCGUGCCAUUGGUACGUACUGGUAUCAUUGGUUUCUCCUUUCUGACGAACCAUGAUGUCAUUAAUUUGGUGUUAUGGGAAGUUAGGACUGUUACUUUGAAAAAAUUAGAGUGUUUAAAGCAGGCUUUAGCUUGAAUACAUUAGCAUGGAAUAAUGAAAUAGGACGUUUGACCCUAUUUUGUUGGUUUCUAGGAUCGACGUAAUGAUUAAUAGGGAUAGUUGGGGGCAUUAGUAUUCAAUUGUCAGAGGUGAAAUUCUUGGAUUUAUUGAAGACUAACUACUGCGAAAGCAUUUGCCAAGGAUGUUUUCAUUAAUCAAGAACGAAAGUUAGGGGAUCGAAGACGAUCAGAUACCGUCGUAGUCUUAACCAUAAACUAUGCCGACUAGGGAUCGGAUGAUGUUAAUUUUUUAAUGACUCAUUCGGCGCCUUACG